UAUGACUUCAUCUUUUAUACAGUCGGGUUCGGGGUUUCGGGCAGCCAUGGCGAAUUUCGGCAGGAUUUUACCCCAGUGAAAAAGGCUUGUAAUCCACAGUGAUCAGCUAAGAUGUUGUUUCACUGGAUUAUUUAAUUGGGCAUAUAAUUGGAUAAUUCUGGAUCAGCUGAGAUGUUAUUUCACUGGAUUAUUUAAUUGAUAGACUUAUUGGGCAUAUAUUUGGAUAUCUCUGUCCUCAACCUGGAAGAUAUGUUUUGUUCCUAACCAUCUAUAAUCCAUUCUCUAUGAAGUUCAGCCUGUCUGCCCUUCCUUUGGAAAUAUACAGUCAGUCAACCAACAUAGAAACAAACUUGAAGGAUUCUCUAGUGAGGGCUUAUGGAAAUGAUCUAUGUCUACUCUCAGAAUGGUGAAAGACUAUCAGAUUAUGCAAAGACUAACAGAAUAUCCUCUCUUGGAACACUGAAACAAGAAAAUCAAACAGGAGAUGGAUGGAGGAUUUAAGAAGCACAUAAAUAAAUAUGAUUUCCAACCAAUUUAAGUACGAUCAUAGACUGUGGUUUACAGGAUGACAAAGAAAGGACCCAGGAUUGUAUCUUUUACUGUCAGACACUGAGUAUGGAUAAGAUGUAGCUAUUUAUCAGACUGAGAUCUAGUCAAAUCAAGUAUUGAAAAUAUGAUUUCUGAUAGCAUGAGCUCUUUAAAAACUAAUUCUCACGGACCUCAAAGUAUCUGAAUGUGACUUUUAUUUUGACCAAUUCAUAUUGAUGACUGUUGUUAUGUAUGGGAAUUACACAUUUAAACCUUUUAUUUUUCAUCUUAUUUCUAUAACCCCCUAGAAAUUACACAGAUAUUCAGAUGCUGGAUUUAAUGUUAUUAUUUAACUUUCCUGGAAUUGUAAAUAUAUUUUGUUUGUGUAUGUAUCAUGUUUAAUUUUGAAUUUAAAAUUGGUCUCAAUAAGACCCCCAAUAAAGAUGCAAGUGUCUCAUAAUCUGUGGUUUAAUAAUAUCUUGAAUAUCUUUAUCAUACCAUAUUCAUCAUACUAAUUACAUAUAGAAUGGUUGUAGGAAUACACUUUGUUGUUUAGCACACUUUGUCAAGGUCAAAGCAUAAGAUUAUUGAGAUGACUUCUUUGACAAUAAUUUGUAACUUACAAACUUCACAUCAUAAGUACACAGAUGAAGAAUCAAUAAGAUAUUUCUAUAGAUUUUUUGGAUCAUUUACUCCUGGGUAAAAGUUAGUUACUAACUGAGAUUACUGAUUUGAGUCCUGUAAUGCAAUAACUUAAACAUUGUGUGAUAACUUAUAGACUUUAUAAAAAUUAGGUGCAAAUUCUUAGGAAAGGAUUGAAAUGUUAAUCAAAUGUACAAUGUUCAAGGGUGUUUAUAUGACUAUUACUAUGUAAUACCUUAGAAUUCUGUAAAAAUUUUAUUAUCACUGGGUAGAUAAAGACUGGUUGGAAUAAUUUAUGUUUUGAAAUAAGGUUUAGGGAAAAAAGUCAAGAAUGUGGAUAUCAUACUAAUUACAUAUAGAAUGGUUGUAGGAAUACACUUUGUUGUUUAGCACACUUUGUCAAGGUCAAAGCAUAAGAUUAUUGAGAUGACUUCUUUGACAAUAAUUUGUAACUUACAAACUUCACAUCAUAAGUACACAGAUGAAGAAUCAAUAAGAUAUUUCUAUAGAUUUUUUGGAUCAUUUACUCCUGGGUAAAAGUUAGUUACUAACUGAGAUUACUGAUUUGAGUCCUGUAAUGCAAUAACUUAAACAUUGUGUGAUAACUUAUAGACUUUAUAAAAAUUAGGUGCAAAUUCUUAGGAAAGGAUUGAAAUGUUAAUCAAAUGUACAAUGUUCAAGGGUGUUUAUAUGACUAUUACUAUGUAAUACCUUAGAAUUCUGUAAAAA